AAAAAAGUCAGAAUUGUGAGAUGAAAAGUCGCAAUUACCUUUUUUUAUUUAGUUGCAAAAACUUUCUUCCACAGUUUUUAUUUAUGUUAAAAAAAAAAAAAAGCUAUUCAUAUUAGUUACACAUUCAACAACACUGUUCUGGUUGUUAGGAGGUUGCUAAGAUGUCCUAGGUGGUUGCUAAGAGGUUGCUAAGAUGUUCUGGCUGGUUGCUAAGAUGUUCUAGGUGGUUGCUAAGAUGUCCUGGCUGGUUGCUAAAAGGUUGCUAAGAUGGUCUGGCUGGUUGCUAAGAGGUUGCUAAGAUGUCCUGGCUGGUUGCUAAGAUGUCCUAGGUGGUUGCUAAGAGGUUGCUAAGAUGUUGCUAAGAUGUUCUGGGUGGUUGCUAAGAGGUUACUAAGAUGUUCUGGCUGGUUGCUAAGAUGUCCUAGGUAGUUCCUAAGAGGUUGCUAAGAUGUUCUGGGUGGUUGCUAGGAAGUUUCUAAGAUGUUUCGGUCAGUUGAUGGCAGUUUUCCUCUUGUCUGACAUGAAAAGACCUUUGCUCUGCAUCUGUGGGAUUUUUCGAUGUGUUUUAUUCAUUCAUCCAGCAGGUAAUAACUCAUAUUUAUGCAUUAAUGGUUUUCUGAGAUCAGUUCUGCGGAUGUCACCGGUGACCUUCAUCCACUGACAUCUGACCUCCGUCUGUAAUCAGACCUUCAUCUACAGCGACUUAAACAGAGAUGAAGAUAAAGAUGCACAUUAUGCUCUUCAGUCACACGAAAGCUCUCGACCUCCAGCUCUGCCGGCGUAUAAAGGCUGUAAGUGUCCUGUUUAGCUUUAACAAUGAUUCCCACACGAGAAUGCGCUCCUGUAUAUGAGUAUGUGGGUCGCGCUCAAGGCCACGCUUAUGUAAAUGCACAGACAACACAUUAGUUAGCAGGAUUUGUUGUUCAAAGCACGGUCCAGAUAAAUCACGCUCGCGCGGUGAAGAAUCGCCGCUGUCCUUACGGUAUCGUAGCAUUCAAACGCGCGUGCUGUUAACCCAGUUACACAGAGAGAAAUACAGCUCCCAUGAUUCCGCUGGGCUAUUUUCACACUCACCUCCCAUGACUCUCCGGCUGCGGCGGCUGCGUCAGCGUUCUGUGCCGCAGCGAGACAGUGAUCAAGCGCCCGGCACUUUCUGCAAGCCAGUCACAUUCAAAGUUUGUUUGCCAGCAUGGCAAUUUUAGUAAGAUAUUCCUCUCCCCGACAAAAACCUCUCCAAAGACUUCACGGAUUUCUGGAAGUCACCUUCCUCCCAUGUUGUGCGGGAACGGCAGAUUUUUCUCUUGCUUUGCAAAUCAUAACUUCAUGUUCUAGAAAUUAACAUUGAUUUUAUAUAUAUAUAU
ensembl:lncRNA